CCUACGGGAGGCAGCAGUGAGGAAUAUUGGACAAUGGGCGCAAGCCUGAUCCAGCCAUGCCGCGUGCAGGAUGACGGUCCUAUGGAUUGUAAACUGCUUUUGUACAGGAAGAAACCCUUUCACGUGUGGAAGAUUGACGGUACUGUAAGAAUAAGGAUCGGCUAACUCCGUGCCAGCAGCCGCGGUAAUACGGAGGAUCCAAGCGUUAUCCGGAAUCAUUGGGUUUAAAGGGUCCGUAGGCGGUUUAGUAAGUCAGUGGUGAAAGCCCAUCGCUCAACGGUGGAACGGCCAUUGAUACUGCUAGACUUGAAUUAUUAGGAAGUAACUAGAAUAUGUAGUGUAGCGGUGGAAUGCUUAGAGAUUACAUGGAAUACCAAUUGCGAAGGCAGGUUACUACUAAUGGAUUGACGCUGAUGGACGAAAGCGUGGGUAGCGAACAGGAUUAGAUACCCUGGUAGUCCACGCCGUAAACGAUGGAUACUAGCUGUUGGGCGCAAGUUCAGUGGNGUAGACGAAGUAGAUAAGUAAUACCACCGUACGGGAGGUACGGUUCGUCGAAGAAGUAGUAAACGUUAAAGUUAAGUAAGUUAGUACGGACGUGAGACGUAGACCGACGGACGACGACGAGGGAGGAGGGAG
rnacentral:rRNA from 1 species